rnacentral:lncRNA from 1 species
UACUAAUCGAUUGCCUUGUCAUAAAAUACGGAUCUUAUUGGUUGCAACACAAAUUGCAUCAUGUUCUCCAUACAUGGAUCAAAACUCUGCCAAAAAAGCCUCUAGAUUAUUAUAUAUUCGAUCUUGUCAUUGAAGAAAAGAUGAAAACCACGAUAGUGCCGAACCUGAAAGAAGCGUACCAAUGAAUCUAACUUGUGAUCCUGGAGUUGGAUAGCUUUGGGGUUGAAGUACAAUCACAAGUUACACUUGAU